CACAAAUUAAGCGUUUGCUGUAUCAAAGUGACAGAAAAAAUGCUAAAAACAUCAGACAUAUUAAAGCUGCCGCAAUCUAAACAAGACAAGAGUUGUGAUUUAAUAGCUGUAGGUGUAAAUUGAUUAGUAAGAAAGAUGUCUGUGUUGGUUUCUUCAUUAGGAAACACAGCAUAGGCAAUGACUGAAUACAUCAAAGCUGAUUAUUAAUGUGAUACAGCGGUGUUGGGGACGUCUCGAUGUUCCUCACAGGUUCUUCAGCGUGUCUGGACCAACAGGAUUGUCCAGCCAUUCCAGAGGCCAGCUGGCUUUAAUACUGGGACGAUC